CCGUAAUAAUCUAGGAGAUUCCGAACAAACUCCGGAAUCGGAAGCCGAAGACCAGCCCGGAGGUCCUCGACAUACAGAGCCACUUGGCCCGCGGGCGGAUUGUUGAUCCGUCCCCCGACCCUAGGGGCAAAGAGUCGGAACUGCUCUGGGAUACAAUACUGAUCCCGAAGCUGAUCGACAUUCGGCUCUGAAAGUGAGGAGACCUCCACUUCCGGGGUCGACCGAAGAUCAUCAGUCGGAUUCUCCGACUGAGCUUCCCGAGGAGAAGUCCUGGCCAUGAUGCCAAAACCAAGAAGAAGGAAAAGACAGAGAAGAAGAAGGAAAAAGGAUUUCAAAAGAAGCAAAAACAAGGCG
rnacentral:lncRNA from 1 species